UACGAAGAGGGCUAGCGUUGUUCGGAAUCACUGGGCGUAAAGGGCGCGUAGGCGGCUUUGUAAGUCGGGGGUGAAAGCCUGUGGCUCAACCACAGAAUUGCCUUCGAUACUGCAUGGCUUGAGACCGGAAGAGGUUAGUGGAACUGCGAGUGUAGAGGUGAAAUUCGUAGAUAUUCGCAAGAACACCAGUGGCGAAGGCGGCUGACUGGUCCGGUUCUGACGCUGAGGCGCGAAAGCGUGGGGAGCAAACAGG
rnacentral:rRNA from 1 species